rnacentral:rRNA from 1 species
UACGUAGGGUGCAAGCGUUGUCCGGAAUUAUUGGGCGUAAAGAGCUCGUAGGCGGUCUGUCGCGUCUGCUGUGAAAACUCGGGGGCUUAACCCCGGGCCUGCAGUGGGUACGGGCAGACUAGAGUGCGGUAGGGGAGACUGGAAUUCCUGGUGUAGCGGUGAAAUGCGCAGAUAUCAGGAGGAACACCGGUGGCGAAGGCGGCGAUCUGGGUCGAUACUGACGCUGGAGGUGCGAAAGCCGUGGGGGAGCAAACAGG